rnacentral:lncRNA from 1 species
CAUAUGGUUUCUAGGAGGACCCCAACAGCCCAACUGUCAGAGAGACUGUGAUCAGUGCUGUGUAGGAGGAGCUGGGAGGAAGGAUGUCACAUUCAAUUCAGAGUCCAUUAGGACCCAGACGCUCCCCUGCAAUAAAUUCCUAAUCCAGACAGCGCAUGCAAGAAAACUUGCAGGACUUGUGAACGACAGCGGAAGCUGCAAAGUGUGGCGGAGAUCUCUGUCCUGCUGUUUAAGAAGUGGGCCUCCGAGGGUCUGA